CUGUGUGAAUCUUUGAAACUGCUUUUUAUUACUCUCAGAUUUAGGUGAUUUAGGACUAUAUCACUCAAAUAAAACUAUUUGUGGAGCCAUAGUGAUAAGGUGCACAACUUGCUGAAGGGCUUGAUGACAAUAAAUUCUGACAGUCAAAUUGACCUUGGACAGGACGCCACAUGCAAGAGAGAUUGAUUGUCAACUACCAAACUUAUUUUUGUA
rnacentral:lncRNA from 1 species